GUACAGCUGAAGAGUCUCGAAAUAGGAGGAAGCAGCUGUCCAGUAC
rfam:Trichobilharzia regenti genome assembly, scaffold: TRE_scaffold0062606